rnacentral:tRNA from 1 species
AGUACCACGCCGGAUGAACGGAAAUCAUUGAUGUUGAUUAAUAUGGGAUUUGGAAAAUAUCUCUGGUGCUA